rnacentral:rRNA from 1 species
GUGGGGAAUAUUGCACAAUGGGGGAAACCCUGAUGCAGCAACGCCGCGUGAAGGAAGACGGUUUUCGGAUUGUAAACUUCUUUUCUUAGUGAAGAAGCAAGUGACGGUAGCUAAGGAAUAAGCAUCGGCUAACUACGUGCCAGCAGCCGCGGUAAUACGUAGGAUGCGAGCGUUAUCCGGAAUUACUGGGUGUAAAGGGAGCGCAGGCGGGACUGCAAGUUGGAUGUGAAAUACCGCAGCUUAACUGCGGAGCUGCAUCCAAAACUGUAGUUCUUGAGUGGAGUAGAGGCAAGCGGAAUUCCGAGUGUAGCGGUGAAAUGCGUAGAUAUUCGGAGGAACACCAGUGGCGAAGGCGGCUUGCUGGGCUCUAACUGACGCUGAGGCUCGAAAGUGUGGGGAGCAAACAGG